UUGGUACUCCCUCCGUCCAACAAAGUAUGUCUCAACUUUGACAAAAUUUGAAUGCAUCUACACACUAAGGCAUGUAUAGGUACAUCCAAAUUUUGACAAACUUAAGACAUCUUUUGUUGAACGGAGAGACUAUGUC
rfam:Brachypodium distachyon strain Bd21 chromosome 1, whole genome shotgun sequence.